AAGUCGUAACAAGGUCUCCGUUGGUGAACCAGCGGAGGGAUCAUUACCGAGUUUACAACUCCCAAACCCCUGUGAACAUACCUUACUGUUGCCUCGGCGGAUCAGCCCGCUCCCGGUAAAACGGGACGGCCCGCCAGAGGACCCCUAAACUCUGUUUCUAUAUGUAACUUCUGAGUAAAACCAUAAAUAAAUCAAAACUUUCAACAACGGAUCUCUUGGUUCUGGCAUCGAUGAAGAACGCAGCAAAAUGCGAUAAGUAAUGUGAAUUGCAGAAUUCAGUGAAUCAUCGAAUCUUUGAACGCACAUUGCGCCCGCCAGUAUUCUGGCGGGCAUGCCUGUUCGAGCGUCAUUUCAACCCUCAAGCCCUCGGGUUUGGUGUUGGGGAUCGGCGAGCCUUUCUGGCAAGCCGGCCCCGAAAUCUAGUGGCGGUCUCGCUGCAGCCUCCAUUGCGUAGUAGUAAAACCCUCGCAACUGGAACGCGGCGCGGCCAAGCCGUUAAACCCCCAACUUCUGAAUGUUGACCUCGGAUCAGGUAGGAAUACCCGCUGAACUUA
rnacentral:rRNA from 1 species